AGCCAAUUAGCAAUCAAAUUGCUAAUCGAUCCUCUUGCAACACUUGCACUAGGUUAAAUGUCAAUCAUAUUGAUCGUUUAACCCUAGAAUGAUUCUUAAUCAUUGAUCAACCAUCCGAUCGGAUCAUGAACUCUAAUGUGUAUGACCUCAUAGGUCCAAAUCUAAGUCAGUAGCACAAAACUAAAUUUUUAUAUCAAUUAAAGUGAUCAUUUAGCAAUGGUACCCG
rnacentral:lncRNA from 1 species